GGGUGUGCUGAAGCUCAUGAAAGUUGAAGGCUUAACCAUUUACCAUGUGAAAAGCCACCUGCAGAAGUACAGAACAGCACGGUAUAGACCAGACUCGUCAGAAGGAAAUUCGGAGAGAAAGAUGUCCACGAUUGAAGAAAUGUCAUCUCUAGACCUGAAAACGUAAGUUGGACAUUUUAUUUUUAUUAGCUGAGAAG